rnacentral:tRNA from 1 species
GACCGCAUGGCCUAAUGGAUAUGGCGUCUGACUUCGAAUCAGAAGAUUGAGG